rnacentral:rRNA from 1 species
CCCUUAGAUGUUCUGGGCCGCACGCGCGCUACACUGAUGCAUUCAACGAGUUUUACCUUGGCCGAGAGGCUUGGGCAAUCUUUUGAACGUGCAUCGUGAUAGGGAUAGAUUAUUGAAAUUAUUAAUCUUGAACGAGGAAUUCCUAGUAAACGCAAAUCAUCAAUUUGCAUUGAUUACGUCCCUGCCCUUUGUACACACCGCCCGUCGCACCUACCGAUUGAAUGGUCCGGUGAAGCCUCGGGAUUGUGACUUGUUCCCUUUAUUGGGAGUAGGUUGUGAGAACUUGUCUAAACCUUAUCAUUUAGAGGAAGGUGAAGUCGUAACA